CACGAUUAUAGAAACACUAAAAAACCAAGGUUAUGAAAACCGGACCGAUCAUCAAACCGCUCUAGUCACUGGUUUACUGGUCCAACUGGUCUAACCGUGGUUCAACCGGAAAAACCGUUCCAUAAUAAAAUAAUAAAUAAAUUAUAAAUAAACAUCCUAAAUAUCUUUGAAAUUUAAAACCCUACAUAAAAUAUCACCAACUAAAUGUAAUUAAUCAUCAAAAUAUGCAAUGACUUGCUGCAAAUUUGUUGACAAUUAACAUAAUUAUACUUCCAUUAAAAAUAACUGGAUUGAAUUACAAUGCACAAGUUAAAGAUAGAGAAUAUUGUCUUAAUGUAGCUAAGUCAAAAAGUAAAACAAAAAAUGAUAGUGUUGCACAAUAAACGCACAAUAAACACACAACAGAGCCUGAAACAAACACACAACAAAGCCUGAAACAAAAAAAAUCAAACACGGAGGAGGGGUAGCAAGUCGGCGGAGAUCAAGAACAGGGACAGUGCAACCAAACAAUGAACAAAACAA